AGAGUUUCUGCUGAUCACUUCCUGGUUUACAGAGAACAAAACUACUGAAUGCAAUAAAAUGUUGACUGGAAAUGAGCUGAAAACUGAGAAGAAACCUGAAAAACACACAAGUUUCACCCUGACCUCAGAGUUUUACAGCUCAGUUCACUGUUGAUGCAAAGAGAAGAACUGAAAGUAAAGGUGUUUAAACUCAGGUAAACUCACCUUGACAGGGGGCGGAGCCUCAGGUGAGUCAGUUACAGUCAGGUAUCAGAUCAGGAGAAACAGGUUCUGACUCCAUUUAGCAGCAGAACAGAACAAAGAGAAGACUCUGGAUCAGGGCUGACUGAAGUCCAGAAGAUGGAGGAUUGUGAUCUAAAGGAGGACAGAGCAGAACCUCCAGGAUCCAGCUGUCCAUCUAUGAGGAGUGACUGGUCCA